CCUACGGGAGGCAGCAGUGGGGAAUAUUGGGCAAUGGACGCAAGUCUGACCCAGCAACGCCGCGUGAAGGAAGAAGGCUUUCGGGUUGUAAACUUCUUUUAAGGGGGAAGAGCAGAAGACGGUACCCCUUGAAUAAGCCACGGCUAACUACGUGCCAGCAGCCGCGGUAAUACGUAGGUGGCAAGCGUUGUCCGGAUUUACUGGGUGUAAAGGGCGUGCAGCCGGGAAGACAAGUCAGAUGUGAAAUCCCGCGGCUCAACCGCGGAACUGCAUUUGAAACUGUUUUUCUUGAGUAUCGGAGAGGUAAUCGGAAUUCCUAGUGUAGCGGUGAAAUGCGUAGAUAUUAGGAAGAACACCAGUGGCGAAGGCGGAUUACUGGACGACAACUGACGGUGAGGCGCGAAAGCGUGGGGAGCAAACAGGAUUAGAUACACCAGUAGUC
rnacentral:rRNA from 1 species